GACGAACAUUAGUUACUUGCCAUCAGCUGAAACCAAGCAAUGAGAUAUAUGAAAAUAACGCUAUGUGUGUUUUCCGGAAUGCCAGAUCCCGAAUAUAUGAUCGACAGCAAAGAUCCAGAUUACAAACGAAUUAAAGGAAUGCUACCAAAGCCAGGUAGUCUCCAACUUCCUUCUUUGCUUGGCUAUUCGGGAUAUGUGAUUGAGACGAAACUUCCUUCACUUUCAUCGUGCUGUUCAUGCUGUUCUAGGAUAGAAAUUCCGCGUGGUUUUAAUCCAGAACUGGAACAAUUACUGUUUGAUAAAGGCAAAUAUGAUGAAGGCUUGCGAACAAUAGUGUUUAGUGAACUAGAUCAAGUAACUCAAUGAGUCCCUGGAUCUAAGUGACAAUUUUAAUGUGUAUAAAGUCAAGGUGUAACACUGAUAAAAAUGUUGUUGUCAUCCAAAUGAUUUUGGAAAGUUAUAAAAAAAAAUCAGUUUUAGAAAUAUUUAUCAAGACCAUAGAUUUAUAAGUACUAGCAUUGAUUUCAUAACUUGU